rnacentral:misc_RNA from 1 species
CCGAGUUUACAACUCCCAAACCCCUGUGAACUUAUACCUCUACUGUUGCUUCGGCGGGUUAUUGCCCCGGGGAAACAGGCGGCCGUCAGGUCCCUGCCCACCCGGAAACAGGCGCCCGCCGGAGGGACCAACCAAACUCUUUCUGUAGUCCCCUCGCGGACGUUAUUUCUUACAGCUCUGAGCAAAAAUUCAAAAUGAAUCA